rnacentral:rRNA from 1 species
UACGUAGGGUGCAAGCGUUGUCCGGAAUCAUUGGGCGUAAAGCGCGCGUAGGUGGUCAUGUAAGUCCGCUGUGAAAGUCAAAGGCUCAACCUUUGAAAGCCGGUGGAUACUGCAUGACUAGAGUACGGAAGAGGCGAGUGGAAUUCCUGGUGUAGCGGUGGAAUGCGCAGAUAUCAGGAGGAACACCAAUAGCGAAGGCAGCUCGCUGGGACGUUACUGACACUGAGGCGCGAAAGCGUGGGGAGCGAACGGG